CAUGCAAGUCGAGCGGAAAGGCCCUUCGGGGUACUCGAGCGGCGAACGGGUGAGUAACACGUGAGCAACCUGCCCCAGGCUUUGGGAUAACCCCGGGAAACCGGGGCUAAUACCGAAUAUGACCUCUGACCGCAUGGUUGGUGGUGGAAAGUUUUUCGGCUUGGGAUGGGCUCGCGGCCUAUCAGCUUGUUGGUGGGGUGAUGGCCUACCAAGGCGACGACGGGUAGCCGGCCUGAGAGGGCGACCGGCCACACUGGGACUGAGACACGGCCCAGACUCCUACGGGAGGCAGCAGUGGGGAAUAUUGCACAAUGGGCGGAAGCCUGAUGCAGCGACGCCGCGUGAGGGAUGACGGCCUUCGGGUUGUAAACCUCUUUCAGCAGGGACGAAGCGUAAGUGACGGUACCUGCAGAAGAAGCGCCGGCCAACUACGUGCCAGCAGCCG
rnacentral:rRNA from 1 species